rnacentral:rRNA from 1 species
GACGAACGCUGGCGGCGUGCUUAACACAUGCAAGUCGAACGGAAAGGCCCUGCUUUUGUGGGGUGCUCGAGUGGCGAACGGGUGAGUAACACGUGAGUAACCUGCCCUUGACUUUGGGAUAACUCCAGGAAACUGGGGCUAAUACCGGAUAGGAGCUCCUGCUGCAUGGUGGGGGUUGGAAAGUUUCGGCGGUUGGGGAUGGACUCGCGGCUUAUCAGCUUGUUGGUGGGGUAGUGGCUUACCAAGGCUUUGACGGGUAGCCGGCCUGAGAGGGUGACCGGCCACAUUGGGACUGAGAUACGGCCCAGACUCCUACGGGAGGCAGCAGUGGGGAAUAUUGCACAAUGGGCGGAAGCCUGAUGCAGCAACGCCGCGUGCGGGAUGACGGCCUUCGGGUUGUAAACCGCUUUCGCCUGUGACGAAGCGUGAGUGACGGUAAUGGGUAAAGAAGCACCGGCUAACUACGUGCCAGCAGCCGCGGUGAUACGUAGGGUGCGAGCGUUGUCCGGAUUUAUUGGGCGUAAAGGGCUCGUAGGUGGUUGAUCGCGUCGGAAGUGUAAUCUUGGGGCUUAACCCUGAGCGUGCUUUCGAUACGGGUUGACUUGAGGAAGGUAGGGGAGAAUGGAAUUCCUGGUGGAGCGGUGGAAUGCGCAGAUAUCAGGAGGAACACCAGUGGCGAAGGCGGUUCUCUGGGCCUUUCCUGACGCUGAGGAGCGAAAGCGUGGGGAGCGAACAGGCUUAGAUACCCUGGUAGUCCACGCUGUAAACGGUGGGUACUAGGUGUGGGGUCCAUUCCACGGGUUCCGUGCCGUAGCUAACGCUUUAAGUACCCCGCCUGGGGAGUACGGCCGCAAGGCUAAAACUCAAAGGAAUUGACGGGGCCCCGCACAAGCGGCGGAGCAUGCGGAUUAAUUCGAUGCAACGCGUAGAACCUUACCUGGGUUUGACAUGGAUCGGGAGCGCCCAGAGAUGGGUGUGCCUCUUUUGGGGUCGGUUCACAGGUGGUGCAUGGCUGUCGUCAGCUCGUGUCGUGAGAUGUUGGGUUAAGUCCCGCAACGAGCGCAACCCUUGUUCACUGUUGCCAGCACGUUAUGGUGGGGACUCAGUGGAGACCGCCGGGGUCAACUCGGAGGAAGGUGGGGAUGACGUCAAGUCAUCAUGCCCCUUAUGUCCAGGGCUUCACGCAUGCUACAAUGGCUGGUACAGAGAGUGGCGAGCCUGUGAGGGUGAGCGAAUCUCGGAAAGCCGGUCUCAGUUCGGAUUGGGGUCUGCAACUCGACCUCAUGAAGUCGGAGUCGCUAGUAAUCGCAGAUCAGCAACGCUGCGGUGAAUACGUUCCCGGG